UUGGAUUUCUGGCAGGAGCGACCGGUCACACACUCUGUGUGUGAACUUGUGUUGUCUCUGGCCAUCCUUGGGGAGAUCCUGUUUGGCAUUAAGUUGUCGGGCAGGGGAUACCCAUCGUUUACUGUGAAAAAAUUAGAGUGUUUAAAGCAGGCUUAUGCCGUUGAAUAUAUUAGCAUGGAAUAAUAAGAUAGGACUUCGGAACUAUUUUGUUGGUUUGCGUUACGAAGUAAUGAUUAAUAGGGACAGUUGGGGGUAUUCGUAUUUCGUUGUCAGAGGUGAAAUUCUUGGAUUUCCGAAAGACGAACUACUGCGAAAGCAUUUACCAAGGAUGUUUUCAUUAAUCAAGAACGAAAGUUAGGGGAUCGAAGAUGAUUAGAUACCAUCGUAGUCUUAACCAUAAACUAUGCCGACUCAGGAUCCGCAGUUGUUUUUUGACUCUGUGGGCACUGU
rnacentral:rRNA from 1 species